rnacentral:hammerhead_ribozyme from 2 species
AGCCGAAACGGCCCUGCGGGGCCGUCUGCUGAGGGUUGACCGCCCAGCACUGAGGAUGGCAGGUCGGA